GGGGGCGACCUGGCUUCGACGUGGGUUGCAAAGCUCGAGGUGCAUGCCGAGGUGCGGUUGACCUCGUAAAACCAGCCGCAAAAAAAUAUACGCCAACGACGACGUAUACUCCCUGGCCGCUUAAUCCGGCUAGGCCUCUGACCGGUUCUUGUCUGUAAGUCCGGAGGCCGCAAGGCCAUUCAGGGGUCAUCCAUUACAGAAUCGCUGAGCGCCCUGCCCGAGAGCGCAAAGCUAAAACUUUAGGGCUCGCCGUUCAUCAUCCCGUCCGUCGGAGGAUGUGCGGUUAAAACCAAAAGGCGAGACUAAGCAUGUAGUACCAACAGCGGAGGACUUGCGGACGCGGGUUCGAUUCCCGCCGCCUCCACCA
rnacentral:tmRNA from 1 species